AAUGCCAGGGUGAAUACGUUCUCGGGUGCUGUACACACCGCCCGUCAAGCCAUGAAAGCCGGGGGCGCCUGAAGUCCGUGACCGCGAGGGUCGGCCUAGGGUGAAACCGGUGAUUGGGGCUAAGUCGUAACAAGGUAACCUAACAUGUGUGGGUUGGGGAGAGAAAACACACAGGGGCUGUGGUAGAUGGUAGAGGGGUGGGGCCCCGCGCCCACCCCUUUUAAAUUAGGGUACCUUUGUUACGACCUUAACCUAAAUCCCGGGUUUCCUUCUAGGACGGAUAAGGGGGGUAAGGGCCUUAGGGGGCCCAGGGCUUCCUCCGGGUUACCGGAGGAAAUGGUUGGCCCCCGUAAGGGUAUUUAACCCGAGCACUUCGGGGCAGGAUCGACUCCACUCGGGUAGCGGCUCCAGAGGAGUCCCAAAGGGGCUUUACAUCCUUUUACUGUUCUCUGCAGUUUCAAGCCUGGGUAAGUUCUCUGUGUAUAUCUCUAAUAUUAACCCAUGUCUCCUCCGUUGGGGCGGCCCCGGUCAAUUCCUUUGGAGUUCACUGUUGGACGCCGCUACUCCUCCUAUGGUGGUUAUAUGGUGAA
rnacentral:rRNA from 1 species